ensembl:lncRNA
GUGUUCGGCUUUGUUAAAGCGUAUUGCCUCAGAGUAAACGCAGCGUUUUCAGAAUCAAACAGUCUCUCUUUGAGCUGCUCAACCAUUACAUUUACAUUAGGGAUUCUUCAAGCGAUAGGCUGUCAUUUUACUUUCAUCCCUUUACAAGGAAAUGUACAGUAUGCAGUCUGCAGACAAGUUAAGUAAUAUCCCUGUUUGCAAAUCUCGUAACAUUCCCCUGUACUCUAUUCUUCAAAUGUUACAAAAGUCUCGAUCUAAACUGACUGUUUUUCUAGUGAUGUUAUCUUUUUUUCACAGUGCAAAGCCCAAGCCGACUGCUGAGGUCCAUGAGAAUGAAGUAGUGAAGCAGGAUACAGGUCAGGAAGACCAAGAAAGUGACAGCGACAAUGAGGAUGAUGAUGAUGAUGACAUGUGUGUAACCAUUGGAGCCCCGUCACAGCCGUUCAGGGUUCUUCAAAGCACAUUGCCCAGAGUCAUGAAGGCAGCAUGUCUCUCAGUGUGUGUCCCCUUGGUGGUGAUGAUGAUAACGUUUGCCCCAAAGCCAAAGGAGUGGACGUGGAUGCACAGGGUAGUGUUAACGGAAUCCCUGUGUUGGAGGUCGACGUGGAGUCUUUUGAAGAAAAGCCAUGGAGAAAGCAUGACUCGCACUUAACGAGGACUCCUGGAAAGCCUACUGUGAGAACCAGAGGAGAUUACGCAUGGGGUAUAAGGUCAUGAACCACGCUUCAGCCACUAAACUCAUGGAAUGGGACCUUCCCUGCUUUAGAUCUGACUACUCCUCCCCCAGCAACCACUACAAAUCAGCCUUGUCCAGAAAGACAAGCGGCACCACCAAUGUUAUUGGAGGACAAACUGGUACCAUCAGCCGGGUAGAGGAACAGAGACGUCACAAUAUAGAAGGAAAUAACAUCCAGGUGCUUUCCAAGCCAUCUGACGCUGAGCCUACUCCCACUAAGAUGCCCCCCUUCUUCCCCCUGCCUCCUUUCCCGCCUCCACCCUACAAUGUCAACUCUGCCCCUCCACUCAUUCCUCCACCACGUGUGUGUAAUUCUCUCCAGGUGUGUGGGUGCCAGUGCUUUCAGUCUGUCGGACUUCCUCCUCAUCGCCUGAUGAAUAUGAGGCAGAGGGCAGGAAGUCCCCCCUAGCCUGAGCUCACAGCUGAGCGCAGGCUGCCAUCGCUUCAUCUUCAAAGAUUCCAAAAUAGCACCCCUCACACACUCCCAGCACCCCCUAAGUUCAAUGAGCCCGGUACCGACAUGUUGUUCAACCUGUGCCAAAUAUCCUAAUACAACCAAAAUAUCAAACAUCCUGUUGACCCGGCAAACCUGGCUUUCCUUCUUUAAGUUACAGGCUCUGCCUCCUUUUGUGAUGCAAAUGUUUAACGUGAUAAAAAUAGCUCCUGGAAGAAAAGAAAAGUGCAGAGCCAGCAGAUUGGAGGGAGAGAGAGAGAGAGAACUUUGUUACUCUUGGUACAGUAGGGUCACAUUAGUGGUGUAGUAUUAUUGCUUGAUAGGGCCAGGUUUUAGCGUGGGGUUGUGUUGUCAUUGCAGGCCAGUCUGUGUAGUGAAGCACUAAGGGAUGCUGUCUGGAGCUCUAGUGUAGAACUGGUGGUACUGAUCAGUGUAGUUUGGCACAUACAUUGUGGUUAGUUUGACACCUGUACUGACUGAUAUGGCUGUGACGGUCUUGGAAUUUGAG